rnacentral:rRNA from 1 species
UGGGGAAUCUUGGACAAUGGGGGCAACCCUGAUCCAGCCAUGCCGCGUGAGUGAUGAAGGCCUUAGGGUCGUAAAGCUCUUUCGCCUGUGAAGAUAAUGACGGUAGCAGGUAAAGAAACCCCGGCUAACUCCGUGCCAGCAGCCGCGGUAAUACGGAGGGGGUUAGCGUUGUUCGGAUUUACUGGGCGUAAAGGGCGCGUAGGCGGGGUAUCAAGUUAGGGGUGAAAGCCCGGGGCUCAACCUCGGAACUGCCUUUAAAACUGAUACUCUAGAGUCCGGAAGAGGGUCGCGGAAUUCCCAGUGUAGAGGUGAAAUUCGUAGAUAUUGGGAAGAACACCGGUGGCGAAGGCGGCGACCUGGUCCGGUACUGACGCUGAGGCGCGAAAGCGUGGGGAGCAAACAGGAUUAGAUACCCGCGUAGUCC